rnacentral:rRNA from 1 species
UACGAAGGGGGCUAGCGUUGUUCGGAUUUACUGGGCGUAAAGCGCGCGUAGGCGGACGUUAAGUCAGGGGUGAAAUCCCAGGGCUCAACCCUGGAACGGCCUUUGAUACUGGACGUCUGGAGAUCGGGAGAGGUUGGUGGAAUUCCCGGUGUAGCGGUGGAAUGCGUAGAGAUCGGGAAGAACACCCGUGGCGAAGGCGGCCAGCUGGGCCGGUUCUGACGCUGAGCGCGAAAGCGUGGGGAG